UACGGGGGGAGCAAGCGUUGUUCGGAUUUACUGGGCGUAAAGGGCGCGUAGGCGGUCAGCACAAGUCAGUUGUGAAAUCUCCGGGCUUAACCCGGAAAGGUCAACUGAUACUGUGCGACUAGAGUGCGGAAGGGGCAACUGGAAUUCGCGGUGUAGCGGUGAAAUGCGUAGAUAUCGAGAGGAACACCUGCGGCGAAGGCGGCUCUCUGGUACGUGACUGACGCUGAGACGCGAAAGCGUGGGGAGCGAACAGG
rnacentral:rRNA from 1 species